rnacentral:lncRNA from 1 species
AAUGAAAGAAAAAAUUAAAAACAUCAAAAGAAGGGACUGUUCCGAAUUCACAGACACAUUUUCAUCAGUUAUCUCUAAGCAUGCAUGCAACAUUGAUGCAAGAGAAAAAUGGAUCAUAAACAAGCAUGCCUAGACUAUUUCUGUGUGCAUAUGAAGAGAGAAUUGCAUAGGUAACUAACUACCAAGUAAAAUUACACUGAUAAAUGACAUCUGGGCCAUGUUUGGAAGACAAAGCCAACAUCACCAGA